GCUGACGAGCGGCGGACGGGUGAGUAAUGCUUAGGAAUCUGCCCAGUAGUGGGGGAUAGCCCGGGGAAACCCGGAUUAAUACCGCAUACGUCCUACGGGAGAAAGCAGGGGAUCUUCGGACCUUGCGCUAUUGGAUGAGCCUAAGUCGGAUUAGCUAGUUGGUGGGGUAAAGGCCUACCAAGGCGACGAUCCGUAGCUGGUCUGAGAGGAUGAUCAGCCACAUCGGGACUGAGACACGGCCCGAACUCCUACGGGAGGCAGCAGUGGGGAAUAUUGGACAAUGGGGGCAACCCUGAUCCAGCCAUGCCGCGUGUGUGAAGAAGGCUUUCGGGUUGUAAAGCACUUUCAGUAGGGAGGAAAACCUUAUGGUUAAUACCCAUGAGGCUUGACGUUACCUACAGAAGAAGCACCGGCUAACUCCGUGCCAGCAGCCGCGGUAAUACGGAGGGUGCAAGCGUUAAUCGGAAUUACUGGGCGUAAAGCGCGCGUAGGUGGUUUGGUAGCGAGAUGUGAAAGCCCCGGGCUUAACCUGGGAACGGCAUUUCG
rnacentral:rRNA from 2 species